AGCAGCCGCGGUAAUUCCAGCUCCAAUAGCGUAUAUUAAAGUUGUUGCAGUUAAAAAGCUCGUAGUUGAAUUUCGGGAUUAAUAUGUUGGUCGUGCCUUGGUACGUACUGGCAUUAUUGAUUCCUACCUUCUGAAGAACCUCGAUGUCAUUAAUUUGGUGUCUUGGGGAAUCAGGACCGUUACUUUGAAAAAUUAGAGUGUUUAAAGCAGGCUCGCGCUUGAAUACAUUAGCAUGGAAUAAUGAAAUAGGACGUUUGAUUCUAUUUUGUUGGUUUCUAGGAUCGACGUAAUGAUUAAUAGGGAUAGUUGGGGGCAUUAGUAUUCAAUUGUCAGAGGUGAAAUUCUUGGAUUUAUUGAAGACUGGCUACUGCGAAAGCAUUUGCCAAGGAUGUUUUCAUUAAUCAAAGAACGAAAGUUAGGGGAUCGAAGACGAUCAGAUACCGUGUAGUCUUAACCAUAAACUAUGCCGAUAGGGAUCGGAUGAUGUUUAAUUUUUAUGUACUCAUUCGCGACCUUAAC
rnacentral:rRNA from 1 species